AUUGAACGCUGGCGGCAGGCCUAACACAUGCAAGUCGAGCGGAUGAACGGAGCUUUCUCCUGGAUUCAGCGGCGGACGGGUGAGUAAUUCCUAGGAAUCUGCCUUGUAUUUUUGUAUAACGUCCGUAAACGGGCGCUAAUACCGCAUACGUCCUGAUGUUGAACGUGGGGGUUCUUCGGACCUCACGCUAUCAGAUGUGCCUAGUUCGUAUUAGCUAGUUGGUGGGGUAAAGGCCUACCAAGGCGACGAUCCGUAACUGGUCUGAGAGGAUGAUCAGUCACACUGGAACUGAGACACGGUCCAGAGGCCUACGGGAGGCAGCAGUGGGGAAUAGUGGACAAUGGGGGAAAGCAUGAUAGAGAAAGGCCGCGUGUGUGAAGAAGGUCUGCGGAUUGUAAAGCACUGUAAGUAGGGAGGAAGGGAAGUAAGAUAAUACAUGGAUGUAUUGACGUUACCAAAAGAAAAAGCACCGGCUAACUACGUG
rnacentral:rRNA from 1 species